CUGAGUUAUUUAAUAAUAAAUAUGGCGAAGUGUUGUUCUUUUAUAAGUUGUAAGAGUGAUAGUAAAUCAGAACGAAAAAAAAAUAACGAUUUCAACAUCCGACAAACUUCUUUUCAUAAAAUUCCAAAGGAUCCUAACAAGUUAAAACAAUUGAGCUGAGGAUUAUGUCAAGAUUUAGCUCCCGAAAAAUAUGUCUGUGAAUUGCAUUUUCACAACAAGGAUAUACUUAAAAAAUGUUCCUGCAUCUGAAUUGUUUCUGAAUCCUAAGCAACAAACAUGUCAGGAAAAACACAACAAAACUCAUGUUCAACCAUUAUUUUUGUUGAAAACGGUCAAGCAAGUUUACCAAAUUGUGACGCAAAAUGAAGAUUCGAGUUUGAAAAACAAUUUUGUGAAAUUCACAAAUGAUAAUUUACUCCAAAUUUUAAACACUACGAUGUUACCACCAAAAAGGAGCUGGAUCUUUGAUGUUAUAAAUUCUCAAAAUAUUUUUUUAUUUUUUAUAAAUCUAAAACCUUUAACAUUAAAACUUCACGUAAAAAUUCAUGGAAUUUUGAAAAUCAAGAUAAGAAAUAUGAAAACCAACAUAUCUACAGAUUUUACUUUUAAUCCUUCAAGUAUCGAUGUGAUUUUUGGAACUUAUUAAAAGAGAUGAAAAGUAGUCAUUUUCGUAGUGGGAACUGGAUUUGAUAUUAAUAGAUGUUCUACAACGUAUACUAAUAUAAUGUUGCCAAAUGAAAAGAUUCAACUGUGUAAAGGUGUGUAUCGAUGUCAAAAAAGUUAAAAAUUCAAGAGAGCGAAGAUACAAUAUAGACCUUUCCAAGGUGACUGGGUACAAGUUGUUGGAAGUUUCUUAAGUAAAAUUACAGUGACUCACUAUUCUACAUAAGCUAUUUAUAGAAUGCGUACUGCUACUUGAAAAAUCAGGAUUUCACGUUGAUUGUAUAAUAUAAUGGAACCACAGAGCAUGAAAACUGUUUGGAAUAGAAGAUUAUAAAUUUUGUUAUGAGUAUCCCUUUGAGUCUAAUAAUUGCUGAUGGUUUGUGACCUACUUUCCAAAUUUCCUGAAAUGUUUGAGAAAUAAAGUAAUUGAUACUCCAUCUUUUUGGACUCUCUUAAUGGUAUAAAAAUGCUUCACUAGCAGGCACUCUUAAACCUCGAAGUAUACGGAAAAAUGAAUGUACUUCUUGGAAUGCAAGAUGGGGAUAGGGACAAGGCAGAAAAUUAUAGAGGAGUAUCGUUAUUGGAUGUGGGUUACAAGGUAUUAACAAAGAUGAUGACAGAAAGAUUAAGUGGUUGGAUAGAAAAACACAAAAAGCUGAAGGAAAGCCAGGCGGGAUUCAGAAAGGGAAGAGGUACUAGGGAUCAGAUUUUUACAUUAAACGCAAUAAUAAAUAAUAGAUUGAAAGUGAAAGGUGGGAAGCUGUAUGUGGCUUUCAUUGACUUCAAAGCAGCAUUUGAUAGGGUAAACAGGGAAAAGAUGAUAGUGAAGUUGAAGGAUAAAGGGAUAGAAGGUAGAAUGAUGGAGACAAUAAAAGAGAUUUAUAGGGAAACGAGAGCGGAAGUACAGACUCAGGGGAAAAUUACGGAAAGCUUUAGAACAGAACAGGGAGUGCGGCAAGGUUGCGCGCUAAGCGCAGUCUUGUUCGACUUGUAUAUAGAUGAUCUGGAAGAAAGAUGGAUGGCGAAGAAUGAAGGGGGAGCAGUAAUAGGGAGGCAAAAAAUAUUUGCGAUAAAGUAUGCGGAUGAUGUUGCGGCGUUGGCGGAGACUGCGGAAGGGUUGAGAAGUAUACUAAAGGAUUUGGAAAAAUGGGCACAGGAAAACAAGAUGAGAGUAAACGAGAAGAAAACAAAGAUCAUGAUUUUCAGAAACGGAGGUAAGGUUAAGAAAGGGGAGGAAUGGGAGAU
rnacentral:lncRNA from 1 species